rnacentral:lncRNA from 1 species
UACAUAACAUGAGCAAUAGUUUUUGAAUGAACAAAAACAUUACAAUUGACAAAAUGAACAAAAACAUUACAAAAAAGUGAAAGAUAAAUUUAGCAACAACAGUGGUAUCACAAUUUGGCUCUUUUUGAAAAAUCAUAACCAUGAUUUACAGGAUCAAUCAGCCACAUGAUGAAUCACCUGAUAAAACAAGUUGCAAAAG